rnacentral:rRNA from 1 species
AAAUUGAAGAGUUUGAUCAUGGCUCAGAUUGAACGCUGGCGGCAGGCCUAACACAUGCAAGUCGAACGGUAACAGGAAGCAGCUUGCUGCUUUGCUGACGAGUGGCGGACGGGUGAGUAAUGUCUGGGAAACUGCCUGAUGGAGGGGGAUAACUACUGGAAACGGUGGCUAAUACCGCAUAACGUCGCAAGACCAAAGAGGGGGACCUUCGGGCCUCUUGCCAUCAGAUGUGCCCAGAUGGGAUUAGCUAGUUGGUGAGGUAACGGCUCACCAAGGCGACGAUCCCUAGCUGGUCUGAGAGGAUGACCAGCCACACUGGAACUGAGACACGGUCCAGACUCCUACGGGAGGCAGCAGUGGGGAAUAUUGCACAAUGGGCGCAAGCCUGAUGCAGCCAUGCCGCGUGUAUGAAGAAGGCCUUCGGGUUGUAAAGUACUUUCAGCGGGGAGGAAGGUGUUGUGGUUAAUAACCGCAGCAAUUGACGUUACCCGCAGAAGAAGCACCGGCUAACUCCGUGCCAGCAGCCGCGGUAAUACGGAGGGUGCAAGCGUUAAUCGGAAUUACUGGGCGUAAAGCGCACGCAGGCGGUCUGUCAAGUCGGAUGUGAAAUCCCCGGGCUCAACCUGGGAACUGCAUUCGAAACUGGCAGGCUUGAGUCUUGUAGAGGGGGGGUAGAAUUCCAGGUGUAGCGGUGAAAUGCGUAGAGAUCUGGAGGAAUACCGGUGGCGAAGGCGGCCCCCCUGGACAAAGACUGACGCUCAGGUGCGAAAGCGUGGGGAGCAAACAGGAUUAGAUACCCUGGUAGUCCACGCCGUAAACGAUGUCUACUUGGAGGUUGUGCCCUUGAGGCGUGGCUUCCGGAGCUAACGCGUUAAGUAGACCGCCUGGGGAGUACGGCCGCAAGGUUAAAACUCAAAUGAAUUGACGGGGGCCCGCACAAGCGGUGGAGCAUGUGGUUUAAUUCGAUGCAACGCGAAGAACCUUACCUGGUCUUGACAUCCACAGAAGAAUCCAGAGAUGGAUUUGUGCCUUCGGGAACUGUGAGACAGGUGCUGCAUGGCUGUCGUCAGCUCGUGUUGUGAAAUGUUGGGUUAAGUCCCGCAACGAGCGCAACCCUUAUCCUUUGUUGCCAGCGGUCCGGCCGGGAACUCAAAGGAGACUGCCAGUGAUAAACUGGAGGAAGGUGGGGAUGACGUCAAGUCAUCAUGGCCCUUACGACCAGGGCUACACACGUGCUACAAUGGCGCAUACAAAGAGAAGCGACCUCGCGAGAGCAAGCGGACCUCAUAAAGUGCGUCGUAGUCCGGAUUGGAGUCUGCAACUCGACUCCAUGAAGUCGGAAUCGCUAGUAAUCGUGGAUCAGAAUGCCACGGUGAAUACGUUCCCGGGCCUUGUACACACCGCCCGUCACACCAUGGGAGUGGGUUGCAAAAGAAGUAGGUAGCUUAACCUUCGGGAGGGCGCUUACCACUUUGUGAUUCAUGACUGGGGUGAAGUCGUAACAAGGUAACCGUAGGGGAACCUGCGGUUGGAUCACCUCCUUA